UCCGUGUACAUUUCUAUGAAGCAGCAGUCAGGGCCUGUGAAGCAUGAAUCUCAAUGGCUUGAUUUCACAUAGUGAUCUUGCAAUACAGGAAUCCCAAUUAAAAAACAAGGAUGGCUGCUUGACUUUGGCAGUGGAAACAAUGGGGCGGUUGAUGGAGACAGCCUGGGUGCUGUUGUCAUGGAGAGUGGAGACACAGCUGAACUCAGAGGUUGUGAUGGAUCCAUUUCCAGCCUGGUUUUCUUUAUUUAUUUUAGUUACAGCAUUUAAACUUUAAAGUGCUCAUUGUGCCUUUUUAAAAUAAAAAAUAAAAACAAUGAUCUAGUUUGGUUCAUUAUUUUAGUUUAAUUAAAAAAGCACACGUAUAAUAAUCUAAACAGGAUCUUAAUACCGCUGCUCAGGGGAACAUUAGUGAGUAUCCUCUGAUCCCACUGACAAGCCAAUUGUCCUUUUACACCCAGCGUUACAGAGGAUGUUGUGUAUUCUAUAAUGUGAAUGAUGUCAUAAAUCAACAAGGGAUUUAUUCCAAUUAUCUAUGGAUGUGGAUUAGGACAGACUGAGGAGUAUCUGCAAACAUUUACAGUGCAUGUCCUGGAAACCUUUUGCAAACAUCGACUUGUCCUGGGACCUGGGAAAUGGUCACCAUACACUGGUCAAAGGUGUCACCAGGGGACCUCCCAAGAACAACUGAAGGAGGAUCAGAAAGCUGUCUUGGUGAUGAGCGAAGCCCUUCUGCCAUGGUCCGGCUCUUGGCUUGCAUUCAAGACCUCGAGACCUGGAUGCCUGCUAGUUUUCUUCAGCUGAACACUGGCAAAUCUGAACUCCUUCGAGUAGGAUCUAAAACUCAACUUAAGAAUCUCAAUAUAGCUGCCCUGAACCUCGGAAACUGUCUGCUGCUGCCUUCCCCCACAGUACGAAGCCUUGGUGUACUCCUUGACAGCAACCUCUCCUUUGAUGCCCACAUCUCCUCCGUGUCAAAUCUUCCCUCUACCAUCUUCGAAACAUCUCCAAAGUCCAUCCCUACCUAUCCCUCCCAGAUGCGGAGAUACUUUGUCAUGCAUUUCUCCUCUCUACACUACUGCAACUGUAAGUCGCCCUGGAUUAGGGUGUCUGCUAAGAAAUAAAUAAUAAUAAUAAUAAUAAUAAUAAUAAUAAUAAUAAUAAUAAAAUAAAGAUUGAUUGAUUGAUUGA